CUGGGCUGAGAGUGUAACCUGUAGGUGCCUACAGUGAGGCAAGUGUAACCCAUGCACCUCCUGGGUGCGGUAUUCUGGCUCAUCUAGUAGCACUGAGACCACUUAAAGAGAGAGAUUAAUGAGUCUGGUCUACAGCCUUAGCUAGCAGCCAGAUGGCUUUUAGCUCAUGCAGGAGAGGCUUGUGCGCUAAACUCCAGAGACCCCAGGUUUGAUCCUGCCUGCUGAUGACGGGGGUCUGUCGGGGUUACACAAGCAAGCAGAAAGCCUCUGUAGAGGCCAGGAUCUGGACCAAGAACCCUACCUCAAGGAUUGUGAGCGGGGGCAGGAGGUUCUUGUGGUGUUUUGGACUUUGUUAAUAAACCAGACUCUCAAAACGGGGGAGCUACUGGGAAACCCCCUGCACUGUCAAGUUUUCUUCCCUGUGGAAGAAGGGGAGAUGGAAGCAGCAGCAGCACCUGACACUAGACCCUUGGUAUGCCCUGCUACUCUGCCCAAUAUACCAAAAAUACAGAGCGGACUACUGGUAGAAAUCUCCUCCCCACGUUGGAUAGUGGACUGGGACUUAGAAGACGAAGGGUUAAAUUCCAAGCUCUGCCACAGAUUCCCUGUGGGGCAUUGGUUGGCUUCCAUGUCUGGGUGAUCUGAGGCUGCUUGGGGAGCACCAAAGUAUGCUCGGUUUCAGUGCAACUCAGCAUGUCACGGAUGCAUCCCCCAACUGGAAUGAAAUGAAGACAUCUGAACGCCUGUGCAAUGCAAGGACAAGACAUGAAAGAACACUGCCAUGUUUCAUUAGUCGGUGUUAGAGAUGUUAAUAAAUAAGAUGCAUCAUGUUGACUCCUCA